rnacentral:lncRNA from 1 species
AUAUUUUUUCAGAAUAUUGCAUCACAAUAUUGACAUUUAUCGGUUAUUUCACUCGCAUCAUAAGAUGGUUCCUGUUGUUUUUCUAUUCACCUCCGUUUUUCUCGAACGUUUAGCAGCAGCGUAUUUACAUGUCGAUGGCCCCUGUUCCUCGGGCAAUUUUUGUCGUUGUGUUUUCCUCCAAUUUUUUGAAUGUUCAGUUGCAAAUAUUCUGAUGUCGACGUUCCUGUUCUGUUUAUUCAGAAAUAUUCUGUUUCUGAUGUCGACGUUCCUGUUCUUUUUUUCCUCUUUCGUUUUCUGAAAUGUUCAGCAACAAUCUUUUUUAAUG